rnacentral:rRNA from 1 species
GAUGAACGCUGGCGGCGUGCCUAAUACAUGCAAGUCGAGCGAACGGACGAGAAGCUUGCUUCUCUGAUGUUAGCGGCGGACGGGUGAGUAACACGUGGAUAACCUACCUAUAAGACUGGGAUAACUUCGGGAAACCGGAGCUAAUACCGGAUAAUAUUUUGAACCGCAUGGUUCAAAAGUGAAAGACGGUCUUGCUGUCACUUAUAGAUGGAUCCGCGCUGCAUUAGCUAGUUGGUAAGGUAACGGCUUACCAAGGCAACGAUGCAUAGCCGACCUGAGAGGGUGAUCGGCCAUCCUGAAUCUGGACCCCGGUCCUGCCUCUUACGUGGGGCAGCAGUUGGAAAUCUUCGGCAAUGGGCGAAACCCUACCGGAGCAACGCCGCGUGAGUGAUGAAGGUCUUCGGGUCGUAAAACUCUGUUAUUAGGGAAGAACAUAUGUGUAAGUAACUGUGCCCAUCUUGACGGUACCUAAUCAGAAAGCCACGGCUACCUACGU